rnacentral:tRNA from 1 species
UAACAAAUAGCUUACACUUCAAAAAGCACUGCACUGAAGAUGCUGCGACAGGCGAGAGCCUUUUGUUUA